rnacentral:lncRNA from 1 species
AGAGUGAAGAAGAAGAGGAGGAAGAGGAAUGGCAAAGGGAAGAGAGAGAAGAGGGAGAAGGAAGAAGAGGAGGAGAUUAUGCACGACACUUGUUAAAAUUGCAACACUGAGACGGUAUUAGCAGCCCAGUUCUUCAUUUGAGAAGACCAAAGCACAGAGGGGCUAAGUGAUUUGCCCGGGCCCACACAGCUGGGUUGUUGCUGAGCCAGCAUUUGAAACCAGGCUACAUCCUUGAAUCUCAGCUUGGACUUGGUAUCAUUCAGAGUCCUACCAAGAGAAUCAAAACCACUUCAGUGCCUCCACCACCAGUCUCUCAUGAAUGACUCUCCUUGUCAGGGCCCAGAUGGAAGCCAGCUGACAUGCAAGCCUGGGAACUGCAGCCUGCAGAGAUCAACAACCCCACGGAGUCACAGAGCAGAGCAGGUGAAGGAAGAAGAAUGGGUUUGAGGCAAACAGGGCCAGGAUCGGCAGGCCUUGUCCUCCAGGAAGCCUUUCCCACCCCACCUCAGGCUGGAAUAGGGGCCUUCGUAGGCUGAAUGAUGGCCUCCCAAAAAUGUUCACUUCUUAAUCCCUCAACCCUCUGAAUAUUACCUUAUAUGACAAAAGAUGUGACUAAGACGUGUUAAGGAUCUUGAAAAGAGAGACUGAAGCUGGGUUUUCUGGAUGGGCUUCAUAGACAGACACACAGAAGAAAAGGCAAUGU